rnacentral:rRNA from 1 species
UACGUAGGGUGCGAGCGUUAAUCGGAAUUACUGGGCGUAAAGCGUGCGCAGGCGGUUUUGUAAGCCAGAUGUGAAAUCCCCGGGCUUAACCUGGGAAUGGCAUUUGGGACUGCAAGGCUCGAGUGCGGCAGAGGAGACUGGAAUUCCUGGUGUAGCAGCGAAAUGCGUAGAUAUCAGGAGGGACACCGAUGGCGAAGGCAGGUCUCUGGGCUGACACUGACGCUCAUGCACGAAAGCGUGGGGAGCAAACAGG